UCUCGAUAGCGUAAAAGUUAACUCAAAUUUGUAUUGAGUUGGAACGUUUGCCUACGUUUGCCGCUAGGGGCGCUGUUCCGACUUCAUACUUUAAGUUAACUUUUACGCUAUCGA
rnacentral:pre_miRNA from 9 species